CUGCGAGUGAAGCGGCAAAAGCUCAAAUUUGAAAUCUGUCGCCUUUGGCGUCCGAAUUGUAAUUUGGAGGGGCAUCUUCGGGAGCGGUACCGGCCUAUGUUCCUUGGAACAGGACGUCACAGAGGGUGAGAAUCCCGUGCCUGGUCGGCUGUCCGCACCCAUGUGAAGUGUCUCCGACGAGUCGAGUUGUUUGGGAAUGCAGCUCAAAAUGGGUGGUAAAUUUCAUCUAAAGCUAAAUACUGGCGAGAGACCGAUAGCGCACAAGUAGAGUGAUCGAAAGAUGAAAAGCACUUUGAAAAGAGAGUUAAAAAGUACGUGAAAUUGUUGAAAGGGAAGCGCUUGAGAUCGAACUCAGCCUUUGGUAAACAGCCGAGCUUCUGUUCGGUGCACUUGCCAUAGGCUGGGCCAGCAUCGGUUCUGACGGUGGGAAAAACUGUCGGGGAAUGUGGCUCACUUCGGUGAGUGUUAUAGACCCUUCGUGUGAUACCGCCAGUUGGGACCGAGGUCCGCGCUUCGGCUAGGAUGCUGGCGUAACGGUCUUAAGCGACCCG
rnacentral:rRNA from 1 species